GGCGCUCCUCAAUGCAGGACGUGAGAGUGGGGAGGGACGCACACUAUGUAAACAGGAAUAGGUGCAACACCGAUCACUGAGCUGGCAAGCUUAUUAAGGUAGCUAGUUAGUCACAUAAAUGUACGUUCAGCCUGUUAAUUAUUUCAGUCAGAUUUUACGAAGUCAGCAUGGCUUAACAUAGUUGCUUUCGUUUUUGACCUCGACAUUUUUGCUGGAUAGAUACUGUCAUAGCUAACAUGCUGGCGCUGCUAGCUAGCUAAUGCCGCUCAUAUCUGGAUGCAUCACUCUAUUUCCGGAGAGAGCAGCAUACUGGCCCUCCAUUCCCAACCCUGAAGCCCCCUGUCCCCAGCAGGAAAGACCAGGAAAAUGUGUUGGCUUAACUUCCUAUUGAGGAAAUAUCUGCCAACCUGCUCGGUGGGUGACAGGUAACUGUCUUUCCACCAAGCUGUUCACUUCCUGGAGUGGCACGCUGGAACUUCCAGAGGCUUGUAGACCUGAAGCAGUGUGAUGUGGUCCAGCUCAACCACAGUCUUCACAGCUGUAGUCGUCUGCCCCUGCAUCUGCUACCCCGUCCACGACAGGUGAUACAGAUCUGCCACCCCCCAGUUCAGCUGCAGUCACAGCAGUCCUCUGCUGUGGUAUUUAAUUUACCAGCUGCACCAGUUCCUACUACACUGGCCGUGAAGGGAGAAACUUUUGAGGAUUCCUAGAUGGAUGCAGACAGACAGCCUCACCCAGAAGUGCAUACACUGGGUCUAUCAAGACUGACAAGCAGAGAUGGGUGCCUGACAAGGAAAAAUAAAACAUGCCCUCACACACAUUAUCCACAUUGUAAAUACGUUGUAAUUACUUGUUUAUUUAAUCUUUGCUCCAUUUUAUUUUAGGAUUGGAGAUAUCUACUCCUACAUGUCCAUUCUCAAUAUCUACAUAAUUACUCUAAAUAUCUAUCAAAUCAGUGUAAAAGACUGUGGCUUAAUGUGUAGUUAGAGGAAAUUCUGUGUGCUUUUUUCUGAAUUGAAAAACAUGUCUCUCUCACACACACACACACACACACAUUGUGUCUAAUUUAAAUAAAUUGCAAUAACUUGUUUAUUUUAUGUAUGCUCCAUUUUAUUUGAGGAAAAUAUCUGCAAUAAAGUACAUUCACAGUUAAAGCAAUGUCUUUGGUUUGUUGGAUAUUUCUCUGAAUACAAUGCGUGACCAGAAGGAAGUUGGCAGACCUGCAACCCUUGGACUGUGAAGGUUUUAAAAAAAUAGAGGGAUAGGUAGGGAGGAAGAGUGCAGUUUAAAGGUUUAUCAUUAAUAAUUGACACAAUUCUAUAAUGAAUUCAUAUUAGAAUAAUAAUACAUAGAGUGACCAAUAGUUACUGUGAUUGUUGAGUGUUUUAUUUACUCAAUCAAGCCCCAAGGAGAGAUUGAACCGUAUCUCAAAAGCAGCAGAAAAUGUCAAAUAUGGUCACCAAAAUGUCCAUUACGACUAUACACCACUGCCCCCCCCACGCACGACACAGGGAUUCUUUAGCUAAAUUGCCCAGCACUGUAGCCUCAUCCAGACCGUCACGUUGUACACCACCAUACAAUGGGGAGAACAAGUAUUUGAUACACUGCCGAUUUUGCAGGUUUUCCUACUUAUAAAGCAUGUAGAGGUCUGUCAUUUUUAUCAUAGAUACACUUCAACUGUGAGAGAUGGAAUCUAAAACAAAAAUCCAGAAAAUCACAUUGUAUGAUUUUUUUAAGUAAUUAAUUAGCAUUUUAUUGCAUGACAUAAGUAUUUGAUACAUCAGAAAAGCAGAACUUAGUAUUUGGUACAGAAGCCUUUGUUUGCAAUUACAGAGAUCAUACGUUAUCCCAAAAUGGGCGAUGGUUCGUGUGCAAGGUAUAUGAUUAAUGUCCUAUAAUGUAUCCAUGAUAAGUGUUAUUUUCCUCUCUAUCCCCUCCCCCCUCCAUUUAUGUUGUAACAAGCCAUCAUAUCUUGUCAGUCCACUAGGGACUUUUGUCUCUGAUAUGAGGUAAUGAUUAAUAAGUGACUGUUAUCGAUAUAUAACUGUUAUCAAUAUAUAGUUAGUUAAUUGUUACAUGAUUAAUUUAAUUGGGUAACAAUUUAACAGUUAUUGGAUUGAAUAAAUAAGUUAUCAGAUUAAUGAAAGUCACGUCACGACAGUGUUGCAUUGAAAGUGGCUAAUAUUGCGUUGAUUCGAUCACAAUUGCCACAGUAAAGGGAAACGUUGAUAGUGUUAACCGGAAAAGCUCUAGAACAGUGGUCACCAACCUUUUCUGAGUCAAGAUCACUUUGAGUCAAAAUGCAAGCUGAGAUCUACAUAAGCCUAUGCAACAUUAACCAGCUGUACUGGAGCAAUGAGGUUUGUGCAGUAAGAUAUAGGCCCAAUACAUUAUCACUGCAUAUUGGCUUUGUUUGAAUUGACCUGCCAAUGCAUUGUUGUUCGGGCCAUUUAACAAUAUAUAUAUUUCAGCAUUUGAGGUAGGCAAUAUGAUCACACUGGUAAUAGACCCGUUGUGGUAUUACUCGUGAAGCACAGCUGAGUGUGCAUACAUUUAAAAGGAUUAGCUUUUUAUUUUACUCUGCUGAUGGUGCCUGCAUCUGAUGGUCAGUCUCACUAUGUCAUGAUAGUGUUCUAAUUCCCUAUUUAUAUGGUCGGGCCACCGUCUGUCUCUUACACCAGUCGUUUAUUUUGUGUCCUUGACCAGUAUUCAUGGAUACAGCUCUCAGAUGAUAAACACAUGGUCCUUGCUAUUCUGCCUCUUUUGGACAUCCCUAUCCAGUUUAAUUUUGACAUUUAAAAUGGUUACGGUUAGGUAUUUAAUUUGGUUAUGUGUAAGGUUAGGGUGGGUAAGGGUUAAGGUUAGGGUUAUGCUUUAGAGUAGGGAUGUCCCAAGGUCCAGCAAAUUACAUUCGGCCACUCAUGGUGUGCAGUGGCGUGUGAAAGUAUUCACCCCUCUUGGCAUUUUGUUGCCUUACAACCUGGAAUGAAAAUAGAUUUUGGGGGGGUUUGUAUCAUUUGAUUUACACAACAUGCCUACCACUUUAAAGAUGCAAAGAAAUAAGACAAACAACUGAAAAUUAUUCACCCCCGUAAAGUGAAUACUUUGUAGAGCCACAUUUUUCAGCAAUUACAGCUGCAAGUCUCUUGGGGUAUGUGUCUAUAAGCUUGGCACAUCUAGCCACUGGGGUUCCAGCGCCUUCAAGUUGGAUGGGUUCCGCUGGUGUACAGCUUCUCAAUUGGUUUGAGGUCUGGGAUUUGACUAGGCCAUUCCAAGACAUUUAAAUGUUUCCCCUUAAACCACUUGAGUGUUGCUUUAGCAGUAAGCUUAGAAAAUGAAUUGUCCUGAUGGAAGGUGAACCUCCAUCCCCGUCUCAAAUCUCUGGAAGACUGAAACAGGUUUCUCUCAAGAAUUUCCCUGUAUUUAGCGCCAUCCAUCAUUCCUUCAAUUCUGACCAGUUUCAAGGCCCUGCCGAUGAAAAACAUGGUGGCAGCAUGAUGCUGCCACCAUGCUUCACUGUGGGGAUGGUAUUAUCGGGGUGAUGAGAGGUGAUGGGUUUGAGUCAGACAUAGCCAAAAAGCUCAAUUUUAGUCUCAUCUGACCAGAGUACCUGCUUCCAUAUGUUUGGGGAGUCUCCCACAUGCCUUUUGGCAAACACCAAACGUGUUUUCUUAUUUUUUCUUUAAGCAAUGGCUUUUUUUCUGGCCACUCUUCUGUAAAGCCCAGCUCUGCGGAGUGUAUGGCUUAAAGUGGUCCUUUAAUGGACAGAUACUCCAAUAUCCACUGUGGAGCUUUGCAGCUCCUUCAGGGUUAUCUUUGGUCUCUUUGUUGCCUCUCUGAUUAAUACCCUCCUUGCAUGGGUAUUAAUCAGAGUUUUGGUGGACGGCCCUCUCUUGGCAGGUUUGUUGUGGUGCCAUAUUCUUUCCAUUUUUUAAUAAUGGAUGUAAUGGUGCUCUGUGGGAUGUUCAAAGUUUCAGAUAUUUUUUUAUAACCCAACCCUGAUCUGUACUUCUCCACAACUUUGUCCCUGACCUGUUUGGAGAGCUCCUUGGUCGUCAUGGUGCCGCUUGCUUGGUGGUGACGCUUGCUUGGUGGUGCCCCUUGCUUAAUGGUGUUGCAGACUCUGUUGCCUUUCAGAAAAGGUGUAUAUAUUCUGAGAUCAUGUGACACUUAGAUUGCACACAGGUAGACUUUAUUUAACUAAUUAUGUGACUUCUGAAGGUAAUUGGUUGCACCAGAUCUUAUUUAGGGGCUUCAAAGCAAAGGGGGUGAAUACAUGUGCACGCACCUAUGGAACGUCCUUUGGGUCUUUGCGUGCCAAAAAGAUACAUGUCAAAUAACACUAUUUGACGCGUCAAAUAACAAUAUGUACAUUAUAUGCAAAUGUUGGCCAAUCACUAUAUGAAAAACAUCAUCCCCAACAUACCUUGAAAACAUGAGACCGCUUUUUACGUUUUGCCAGCCAAGUGCAACCACCUUUACAACCACCCCGGGAGGAUCGGGUGGUUCAAAUGUAGGAUUAAUUUUGCUAGGUUAGGUAAUACCUGGCAAAAGUCAACAUUAACCGGCACAUCUACCUAGUAAUGUUAGCUAGCUAAUGAUUGCAACAGCUACCGUGGGGUGCGCGAGUAUGGGCGGCAUCGAUUAUGCUGAGUGUCAUUAUUGUAACUUUUAUAACGUUUGCACAUGUCAGAUUUCAAUCGUUCAGGAGACAGAAUAAUGCUGGAGUCCAAAGGCGGCAAACCGGGAGAAGCAGGCUGAUAACUAUGAGGGUUUGCCUCAUCGCUGACCCUACCAUCCGGCAGCUGAACAGGAUAGGUACAUUUCCCCUAUAUCCAUGUAAUACAUGAGGACACAGUGCGAUGCACAGUGCUUGCUUUGUAAGUAAGCUAGGUGGGAAUCUAUCUUGUGAUUAAACAGACUUAUUGAAGGUUAUUUUACUGAUGUAAAGAUCAUGGACUGUUUCCCUGUUUUAUAUUAGGAUACUUUUUAUAAUAUUUAAAUCAUGUUUCCAUACCUCAGUAUCUUUAGAGUAUCCUGUCUGGCAGAUCAAAGUGCCCUAUGGUCAGGAGGAGAGCAGCUUUUUGGGGGGAAAACAUUCCCCCAGAUGAAUACAAAUUUAGAGGCCUUUAAGACAGGAGGAGGAGGCUCGUUCCCCUACAAAAAAAGGAUUGUGUGGUUGAAUUGGUGGCUCAACAAUUUGUCCAAGGUGGUCUUGGAGCAGUAAGUCAACUCUGUCAUAAAUUUGUGAAGUACUUGUCAUUACCUUUUUAAUCAAUCCACCCCCCUCUAAAUCAAUACACAUCACUAUAUUGUCAUUAACACUUAUUUUAAAUAUACAUACGGUCUCUAAACCAUAACAGGUUGAAAUAUGGUCUCAACUCUCUUGGGCUGCUCGAGGCAUUGGGGAACCAUCCGGACAGCUUCCGAGCACUCCAUAAAGCCUCCCACUGCCAGGGACCUGUGGGACCUGCUUAAAGUAACCUAUUCCAUACCUGGCGGCAACCGGCCAUGUUUGGAGAACGACACCAUCUGCCACAGGUACAACUGGCUGGCUGAGGUGCAAGUGGCGAUGGUGUUGGAGUUUGCUACUGGGGCAACGGUGGUGACACCCCUUGGGUUUGAGGACACCCCGACCAUCGAAUUCCUCCACACAGCGCGAGGGCGUCUCGCCAGGGCAGCAGAAUAAAAAGUACCCAGAGGCAAACACGUGUGCUGUGACACUAAGGCUCCCUCUUCAUAGCACCUACAAUGCCUUUAGGGAAUUCAGGACCUCCGGUAUUGUGAAUUCUCCACAUUUUGGUGUUGCAUAAAAACAUUUUUACGAUACAAUUGUAUCUUGUAGCACUAAACUACAGUAGCAAUUGAGUGUUUGAAAAUGUAACUGCACAUCAACAUUUAAGCAUUUAUCUACUUACAUCUGUAUUGUUUGUACAGUGCAUUCGGGAAUGUAUUCAGACCCCUUGACUUUUUUCCACAUUUUAUUAUGCUACAGCAUUAUUCAGAAAUGGAUACAAUAAUUUUUUACCCUUGUCAAUCUACACACAAUACCCCAUAAUGACCAAGCAAAAACAGGUUGACAUUUUUGCAAAUGUAUAAAAAAAAAAAAGGAAAUAUGACAUUUAUGACCCUUUACUCAGUACUUUGCUGAAGCACCUUUGUCAGCGAUUACACCAUAGGCUCUUCUUGGGUAUGACACUACAUUUUUUAUUAUUUAAUAGAUUUUAGAAUAAGGCUCUAAUGUAACAAAAUGUGGAAAAAGUCAAGGGGUCUGAAUACUUUCCAAAUACACCUAAUUUCCAUAUUGGCUGUUAUUGUUCACUUUAUGAUCAUUAAAAUUAAAUUAUACAAUC